GUAUGCUUGUUUGCCAAUAAGUAGUAUAAAAAAAAGUCAUUCCACUGUUGUUAGUUUCAGUUUAAAAAUUAUUUGUUUCAUGUGCUCUAUUACUUAUUUUUGGUGCUUUGACAUAUCACAGGAUUUUCUGGUUAAUAUUCGUCGCAAUGUCCUGGUACGGGUCAUCUCUUCUUAUAGAAGCUCAGUACUACGCCUUCCAGAAUAAUCCUAUUUCUUUUGUGGUGGAAACUACGUACAAAGACUGGCAAACUCAUUUUCCAUCCGUGGCGGUCUGCGAACAUGAUAAUUCCGCACGUAUUGAACAUGUUUCUGAUAUGCUUUGGGGAGAAGAUCACGAUUUUAACAUGGAAGAAGUUUUAAAAGAACUGGCUUAUUUCAAAGGGAUAACUUAUUAUACGUCGCAAUUCUGUGGGUUAGAGGACCCAUUGCCAGACUGCGUCAAAAGCAACCUCAGUUACUACGCCAAUCUGGUUAGGACUCCUUGUGACGAGAUGUUGACCAACUGUUCUUGGAACGACCAACCCUUCGGUUGCUGUGCAUACUUCAGACCAUUGGACACAGAACUUGGCACAUGUUUUGCUGUUAAUACAAUACA